AAUUAUGCUGUUGCGUUAAAAGCUCGUAGUUGAAUCUUCAGACGCGCGCAAACGGUCGACCGCACGGUCGCUCCGUUCGGCCCGCGGCCUACGCGUAGCUCAGGCCGGCCGCUUGCACUUGACCGUGUGAGCCCGGCGCUGCUGCACGUCCACCUUGAGGAAAGUGAACCGCUCGCAGGAGGCGUUCCGUUAGUACAAUACAGCAUGUUAUGAUGCAACAUGGGCUGGCGCUCUGUUCGAUGGAUUAAGAGAUGGCGAGCCAAUGAUUAAUAUUGACUGCCGGGGUCAUUCGUACUCGGACGGGAGAGGUGAUUUCAAGGAUCGUCCGAGACGCUAACUGCGAAGCAUUUGCCAAGAAUGUUUUGUUAAUCAAGAACGAAAGUCAGAGGCGCGAAGCAAA
rnacentral:rRNA from 1 species